UACAAUGGCAGAUACAAAGAGAAGCGACCUCGCGAGAGCAAGCGGAACUCAUAAAGUCUGUCGUAGUCCGGAUUGGAGUCUGCAACUCGACUCCAUGAAGUCGGAAUCGCUAGUAAUCGUAGAUCAGAAUGCUACGGUGAAUACGUUCCCGGGCCUUGUACACACCGCCCGUCACACCAUGGGAGUGGGUUGCAAAAGAAGUAGGUAGCUUAACCUUCGGGAGGGCGCUUACCACUUUGUGAUUCAUGACUGGGGUGAAGUCGUAACAAGGUAACCGUAGGGGAACCUGCGGUUGGAUCACCUCCUUA
rnacentral:rRNA from 1 species